rnacentral:rRNA from 1 species
UGCCAGCAGCCGCGGUAAUACGGAGGGGGUUAGCGUUGUUCGGAAUUACUGGGCGUAAAGCGCGUGUAGGCGGUUCGUUAAGUUAGAGGUGAAAUCCCGGAGCUCAACUCCGGAACUGCCUUUAAUACUGGCAAUCUUGAGUCCGAGAGAGGUGAGUGGAACUCCUAGUGUAGAGGUGGAAUUCGUAGAUAUUAGGAAGAACACCGAUGGCGAAGGCGGCUCACUGGCUCGAUACUGACGCUGAGGUGCGAAAGCGUGGGGAGCAAACAGGAUUAGAUA